rnacentral:rRNA from 1 species
AGUGAACGCUGGCGGUAGGCCUAACACACGCAAGUCGAACGGCAGCACAGUAAGAGCUUGCUCUUACGGGUGGCGAGUGGCGGACGGGUGAGGAAUACAUCGGAAUCUACUUUUUCGUGGGGGAUAACGUAGGGAAACUUACGCUAAUACCGCAUACGACCUACGGGUGAAAGCAGGGGAUCUUCGGACCUUGCGCGAUUGAAUGAGCCGAUGUCGGAUUAGCUAGUUGGCGGGGUAAAGGCCCACCAAGGCGACGAUCCGAAGCUGGUCUGAGAGGAUGAUCAGCCACACUGGAACUGAGACACGGUCCAGACUCCUACGGGAGGCAGCAGUGGGGAAUAUUGGACAAUGGGCGCAAGCCUGAUCCAGCCAUACCGCGUGGGUGAAGAAGGCCUUCGGGUUGUAAAGCCCUUUUGUUGGGAAAGAAAAGCAGCAGGUUAAUACCCCGCUGUUCUGACGGUACCCAAAGAAUAAGCACCGGCUAACUUCGUG